GGUUCCAUAGUGUAGCGGUUAGCAUGUCUGCUUUACACGCAGAAGGUCCUGGGUUUGCACCCCAGUGGAGCCA
rnacentral:tRNA from 1 species